UACAGAGGUCUCAAGCGUUGUUCGGAUUCAUUGGGCGUAAAGGGUGUGUAGGUGGCGCCGUAAGUCGGGUGUGAAAUUUCGGAGCUUAACUCCGAAACUGCAUUCGAUACUGCCGUGCUUGAGGACUGGAGAGGAGACUGGAAUUUACGGUGUAGCGGUGAAAUGCGUAGAUAUCAGAAGGAACGCCGGUGGCGAAAGCGGCGGACUGGAUCUUUUCUGACGCUGAGGCGCGAAAGCUAGGGGAGCAAACGGG
rnacentral:rRNA from 1 species